CCUACGGGAGGCUGCAGUGGGGAAUAUUGGACAAUGGGCGAAAGCCUGAUCCAGCCAUGCCGCGUGUGUGAAGAAGGCCUUCGGGUUGUAAAGCACUUUCAGUGGGGAAGAAAGCCUUGGGGCUAAUACCCUCGAGGAAGGACAUCACCCACAGAAGAAGCACCGGCAUAACUCCGUGCCAGCAGCCGCGGUAAUACGGAGGGUGCGAGCGUUAAUCGGAAUUACUGGGCGUAAAGCGCGCGUAGGCGGUCUGAUAAGCCGGUUGUGAAAGCCCCGGGCUCAACCUGGGAACGGCAUCCGGAACUGUCAGGCUAGAGUGCAGGAGAGGAAGGUAGAAUUCCCGGUGUAGCGGUGAAAUGCGUAGAGAUCGGGAGGAAUACCAGUGGCGAAGGCGGCCUUCUGGACUGACACUGACGCUGAGGUGCGAAAGCGUGGGUAGCAAACAGGAUUAGAUACCCCAGUAGU
rnacentral:rRNA from 1 species